AAACUAACAAGGAUUCCCCUAGUAACUGCGAGUGAAGCGGGAUGAGCUCAAAUUUAAAAUCUGGCGUCUUCGGCGUCCGAGUUGUAAUUUAGAGAAGCGUUUUCCGCGCCGGACCGUGUACAAGUCUCCUGGAACGGAGCGUCAUAGAGGGUGAGAAUCCCGUCUUUGACACGGACCCCCGGUGCUCUGUGAUACGCUCUCGAAGAGUCGAGUUGUUUGGGAAUGCAGCUCAAAAUGGGUGGUGAACUCCAUCUAAAGCUAAAUAUUGGCGAGAGACCGAUAGCGAACAAGUACCGUGAGGGAAAGAUGAAAAGCACUUUGGAAAGAGAGUGAAACAGUACGUGAAAUUGUUGAAAGGGAAACGCUUGAAGUCAGUCGCGUCUGUCAGGGUUCAGCCUCACGGUGUACUCUCUGGUAGACGGGCCAGCAUCACUUUCGAUCGUCGGACAAGGGAGUUGGGAAUGUGGCACCUUCGGGUGUGUUAUAGCCCUUCUUCGUAUACGGCGACCGGGAGUGAGGACCGCCUUUGUAGGAUGCUGGCGUAAUGGCUUUAACGAC
rnacentral:rRNA from 1 species